GUGGGGAAUCUUCCGCAAUGGACGAAAGUCUGACGGAGCAACGCCGCGUGAGUGAUGAAGGUCUUCGGAUUGUAAAGCUCUGUUAAUCGGGACGAAAGAGCCUAGUGUGAAUAAUGCUAGGAAGUGACGGUACCGGAAUAGAAAGCCACGGCUAACUACGUGCCAGCAGCCGCGGUAAUACGUAGGUGGCAAGCGUUGUCCGGAAUUAUUGGGCGUAAAGCGCGCGCAGGCGGAUCUGCCAGUCUGUCUUAAAAGUUCGGGGCUUAACCCCGUGAUGGGAUGGAAACUACAGAUCUAGAGUAUCGGAGAGGAAAGUGGAAUUCCUAGUGUAGCGGUGAAAUGCGUAGAUAUUAGGAAGAACACCAGUGGCGAAGGCGACUUUCUGGCCAGCAACUGACGCUGAGGCGCGAAAGCCAGGGGAGCAAACGGGAUUAGAAACCCGUGUAGUCC
rnacentral:rRNA from 1 species